GACGAACGCUGGCGGCGUGCUUAACACAUGCCAGUCGAACGGAAAGGCCCUGCUUUUGUUGGUUUCUCGUUUGCCGCACGCGUGAGUAACACGUGAGUAUCAUGCCCUUGACUUUCUGAUAUCUUCAGGAAACUGGGUCUCUUAUCCCAUAUGAUCUCCUGCUGCAUGUUGUGGGUUAGAAAGUUUCGGCGGUUUUGGAUGGACUCGCGGCUUAUCCGCUUGUUGGUGGGGUAGGGGUUUACCAAGCGUGUGACGGGUAGCCGGCCUGGGAGGGUUACCGGCCACAAGGGGACUGAGAGAGGGACCAGACUGCUACGGGAGGCAGUAGUGGGGAAUAUUGCAGAAUGGGCGGAAGCCAGAUGCAGCAACGCCGGGAGCGGGAUGACGGCCUACGGGUGGUAAACCGCUUUCGCCUGUGACGAAGCGUGAGUGACGGUAAUGGGUAAAGAAGCACCGGCUAACUACGUG
rnacentral:rRNA from 1 species